rnacentral:pre_miRNA from 1 species
AGUGGGAUUGCUGAGUCAUAUGGUAAUUCUAUGUUUAACUUUUGGAAGAACUACAGACUAUUUUACAAAGCAGCUGUAUUAUUUUAUAUUCCCACCAGCAAU